rnacentral:rRNA from 1 species
CCUACGGGUGGCAGCAGUGAGGAAUAUUGGUCAAUGGGCGGAAGCCUGAACCAGCCAAGUAGCGUGCGGGAUGAAGGCCCUACGGGUCGUAAACCGCUUUUGCACGGGGAUAACACCCUCCACUUGUGGAGGUCUGCAGGUACCGUGCGAAUAAGGGCCGGCUAAUUCCGUGCCAGCAGCCGCGGUAAUACGGAAGGCCCGAGCGUUAUCCGGAUUCAUUGGGCUUAAAGGGAGCGUAGGCGGGCGUUCAAGUCAGCUGUAAAAUCGCGCGGCUCAACCGCGCCCCGCAGUUGAAACUGGACGGCUUGAGUUCACAACAGGCAGGCGGAAGUCGUGGUGUAGCGGUGAAAUGCAUAGAUAUCACGAGGAACACCGGCGGCGAAGGCGGCCUGCUGGACCGUACUGACGUUGAGGCUCGAAAGCGUGGGGAGCAAACAGGAUUAGAUACCCGAGUAGUC